CUUGUAGUACAAUUUCAUAAAGAUCCAUACACUUACACACAAGUUAUUGUCCUGAAACAAGAAAAAUGCUUGUUUUUUGCCCCUUUUUGGCCCCUAAUUCCUAAAAUUUUGAGGCAAUUACCCCAAAAAUCAAUCCCAGCCUUCCCUUUGUGGUAUGGUACCUUGCAGUACAAUUUCAGAGAGAUCCAUACACUUGAACACAAGUUAUUGUCUGGAAACUAGAAAAAUGCUUAUUUUUUGCCCCUUUUUGGCCCCUUAUUCCUAAACGUUUUAGGCAAUUACCCCCAAACUCAAUUCCAGCUUUCCCUUUGUGAUAUGGAACCUUGUGGUACAAUUUCAUAAAGAUCCAUACACUUACACACAAGUUAUUGUCCUGAAACUAGAAAAAUGCUUGUUUUUUGCCCCUUUUUGGUCCCUAAUUCCUAAAAUUUUGAGGCAAUUACCCCCAAAGUCAAUCCCAGCCUUCCCUUUGUGGUAUGGUACCUUGCAGUACAAUUUCAGAGAGACCCAUACACUUGAACACAAGUUAUUGUCUGGAAACUAGAAAAAUGCUUAUUUUUGGCCCCUUAUUCCUAAACCUUUUGGGCAAUUACCCCCAAACUCAAUUCCAGCUUUCCCUUUGUGAUAUGGAACCUUGUAGUACAAUUUCAGAAAGAUCCAUACACUUACACACAAGUUAUUGUCCUGAAACUAGAAAAAUGCUUGUUUUUUUGCCCCUUUUUGGCCCCUAAUUCCUAAAAUUUUGAGGCAAUUACCCCCAAAGUCAAUCCCAGCCUUCCCUUUGUGGUAUGGUACCUUGCAGUACAAUUUCAGAGAGACCCAUACACUUGAACACAAGUUAUUGUCUGGAAACUAGAAAAAUGCUUAUUUUUGGCCCCUUAUUCCUAAACCUUUUGGGCAAUUACCCCCAAACUCAAUUCCAGCUUUCCCUUUGUGAUUUGGAACCUUGUAGUACAAUUUCAGAAAGAUCCAUACACUUACACACAAGGUAUUGUCAUGAAACUAGAAAAAUGCUCGAUUUUUGCCCCUUUUUUGGCCCCUAAUUCCUAAAAUUUUGAGGCAAUUACCCCCAAAAUCAUUCCCAGCAUUCCCUUUGUGAUAUGGAACCUUGUGG